rnacentral:rRNA from 1 species
GAUGAACGCUGGCGGCGUGCCUAAUACAUGCAAGUCGAGCGAACGGACGAGGAGCUUGCUUCUCUGAUGUUAGCGGCGGACGGGUGAGUAACACGUGGAUAACCUACCUAUAAGACUGGGAUAACUUCGGGAAACCGGAGCUAAUACCGGAUAAUAUUUUGAACCGCAUGGUUCAAUAGUGAAAGACGGUCUUGCUGUCACUUAUAGAUGGAUCCGCGCUGCAUUAGCUAGUUGGUAAGGUAACGGCUUACCAAGGCAACGAUGCAUAGCCGACCUGAGAGGGUGAUCGGCCACACUGGAACUGAGACACGGUCCAGACUCCUACGGGAGGCAGCAGUAGGGAAUCUUCCGCAAUGGGCGAAAGCCUGACGGAGCAACGCCGCGUGAGUGAUGAAGGUCUUCGGAUCGUAAAACUCUGUUAUUAGGGAAGAACAAAUGUGUAAGUAACUAUGCACAUCUUGACGGUACCUAAUCAGAAAGCCACGGCUAACUACGUG